rnacentral:rRNA from 1 species
UCGACCUCAGAUCGGACGAGACCACCCGCUGAAUUUAAGCAUAUCACUAAGCGGAGGAAAAGAAACUAACCAGGAUUCCCUCAGUAGCGGCGAGUGAAGCGGGAAGAGCCCAUCGCCGAAUCCCAGCGGCCCUUCGGUCCUGGGACCUGUGGCGUGAGGCGGCUUCGGGCGCGCGAGUCCACGACGCCGAGGUCCUCCUGAUCGGGGCACCUUACCCAGAGCGGGUGUCAGGCCCGUUCGGGCGUCGGGUCUCAAGGGCCUGGAGCCACCAAGAGUCGGGUAGUUUUGGAAUGCUGCCCAAAGAAGGGUGGUGAACUCCAUCCAAGGCUAAAUACUGGCACGAGACCGAUAGCAGACAAGUACCGUGAGGGAAAGUUGAAAAGAACUCUGAAGAGAGAGUUCAAGAGGACGUGAAACCGCCAAGAAGCAAACGGGCAGGACCCGCGGCACGGGUCCGUGGAGAUUCAGCGUGUCGGCCGUCGUCCCGGGCCGGUCUCGGAUCC